rnacentral:tRNA from 1 species
GCGGGCUUAGCUCAGCUGGUUAGAGCGCGUGCUUCACACGCACGAGGUCACUGGUUCGAGUCCAGUAGUCCGCACCA